rnacentral:rRNA from 1 species
AUGAGGUGCUACACGGCUCUCACGGCGGCGGCAACGCUGGUGCUGCUUCUGCUGGUGCCGCUGGCGACGGCGGCGGAGGCGGAGGCGGAGGCGGCGAUCGCGUCCUACAGGGAGAGGAGCGAGGAGGAGACGCAACAGGUGUUCUUGGAGUGGAUGGCGGAGCACGGGGUGUCGUACGAUUCCGCCGUCGAGGCGGAGCGCCGGUACGCGAUUUUCAAGGGCAAGCUCCGCACCGUCGACCAGCACAACGCCGGGAUCCACCCGUAUCGCCUCGGCCUCAACUGGUUUUCCGACCGCACCAGCGCGGAGAUAUAUUCCCGUGUCCUUCCAUAG